AACGAACGCUGGCGGCAGGCCUAACACAUGCAAGUCGAGCGCCCAGCAAUGGGAGCGGCAGACGGGUGAGUAACGCGUGGGAACCUUCCUGAUAGUACGGAAUAGCCCAGGGAAACUUGGAGUAAUACCGUAUACGCCCGUAAGGGGAAAGAUUUAUCGCUAUCAGAUGGGCCCGCGUAGGAUUAGCUAGUUGGUGAGGUAAUGGCUCACCAAGGCGACGAUCCUUAGCUGGUUUGAGAGAAUGACCAGCCACACUGGGACUGAGACACGGCCCAGACUCCUACGGGAGGCAGCAGUGGGGAAUCUUGGACAAUGGGCGCAAGCCUGAUCCAGCCAUGCCGCGUGAGUGACGAAGGUCUUCGGAUUGUAAAGCUCUUUUGCCAGGGACGAUAAUGACGGUACCUGGAGAAUAAGCCCGGCUAACUUCGUGCCAGCAGCCGCGGUAAGAGUGUGUGUA
rnacentral:rRNA from 1 species